UGUAGGAGCGAGCUUGCUCGCGAUCAGCCGCCAGGCUGAGAUUUGCGGUGCUCACCUCACCGCUAUCGCGAGCAAGCUCGCUCCUACA
rnacentral:misc_RNA from 1 species